GGAAAGGUGCCGGAGUGGCCGAACGGGGCGGUUUGCUAAACCGUUGUCCGCUGUUAUAGGCGGACCGUGGGUUCGAAUCCCACCCUUUCCG
rnacentral:tRNA from 1 species